UACGUAGGUGGCAAGCGUUGUCCGGAUUUAUUGGGCGUAAAGCGAGCGCAGGCGGUUUCUUAAGUCUGAUGUGAAAGCCCCCGGCUCAACCGGGGAGGGUCAUUGGAAACUGGGAGACUUGAGUGCAGAAGAGGAGAGUGGAAUUCCAUGUGUAGCGGUGAAAUGCGUAGAUAUAUGGAGGAACACCAGUGGCGAAGGCGGCUCUCUGGUCUGUAACUGACGCUGAGGCUCGAAAGCGUGGGGAGCAAACAGGAUUAGAU
rnacentral:rRNA from 1 species